ACAACUACUGCGUAUGAAUUUUCUGAGGUAUCUUAAUGUACAUGGUUUAUCAGUUGUGAGAUGGUAAAGCUAUGGUGUGAAGGUCAAAAUCUGUUAAAUGCUAUAUGUUGCUGGUUCUUCAUGCUGCUAUGUUCAUUCUCACAUAUUGGUUUUGUUUGUCUAUCAUGCUUGGAUGUAGAAAAUGUGUGAUGGAAUACAGUAUAUGGGGCUAGGUGAAACCAUGGAAGAAGGUGGAAGCAUUAAAGAAAGCUUACCCUGGGAACUUUGGCAGAAACAGGCAGGGGCUGCUCUUCGAUAAUUGCAGGAUGGUGGAGAUGAUGAUUAAUAGAGGAUUGGCAAAGUAUAGUGGUGGGCAAAAUAUAGUGGUAGGCAAAGUAGUGGGGAGCAAAGUAGUGGAAGAUAAAAAAAAUAAUAAUAAUAAUGUAGUGUAGGAUUAAUGAUGUAUUUUCUAUGUCUCGGUGAUUCUGUAACUGUAAAAUGGAUCGCGUGCUCGUAUCUGCUUGGUACUGUUUAUUUAAAUAAAUCUUGUAUUUCGACA